rnacentral:rRNA from 1 species
CCUACGGGUGGCAGCAGUGGGGAAUAUUGCACAAUGGGGGAAACCCUGAUGCAGCGACGCCGCGUGAGCGAGGAAGUAUUUCGGUAUGUAAAGCUCUAUCAGCAGGGACGAAAAAAGACGGUACCUGACUAAGAAGCCCCGGCUAACUACGUGCCAGCAGCCGCGGUAAUACGUAGGGGGCAAGCGUUAUCCGGAUUUACUGGGUUGAAAGGGAGCGUAGACGGCAAGGCAAGCCAGAAGUGAAAGGGCAGGGCUCAACCCUGUACAUGCUUUUGGAACUGGGGUGCUAGAGUGCAGGAGAGGUAAGUGGAAUUCCUAGUGUAGCGGUGAAAUGCGUAGAUAUUAGGAGGAAUACUCAUUGCGAAGGCGACCUGCUAGAACAUAACUGACGCUGAUGCGCGAAAGCGUGGGGAGCAAACAGGAUUAGAUACCCUUGUAGUC